rnacentral:lncRNA from 1 species
UGGGACUAGGUGAAGGAGGCUCACCGCUCGUAUCGAAGUUGAUCUCAAUUGAAGGGUUGAACCUCACCAGCCUAUCCUCCCAACGAAGCUGCUCAUCCACUAGCCGAUCCAUGAUGUAACUCUUCAGCUCCUUUGAAGUUCGAAAUGACUCGAUCGCUUCAGCUCGGGCAGCAGCUAUCUCAUCGGCCUUCGACUGCCUCAGCUCUUCCAUCUCCUUGGCCAUUGCUGCCUUCUGCAACAGCAAGGUGUUCCUUUCUCGGAUGGCCUCAUGCACCUCCGC